CUAAAGGGAGGACGUCUCCUGGAUGAGGCUGCUUUUUGAGAGGGAGAGGUCUGCAGCCAGAGAUCCAAUCACUAGUUGUUUCUAGCACAGAGAUCAGACCACAGCACUACAGUGUACAGCACAUUACCUCAAACUGGCUCAUGGCAAAAUUACCAAGUUACUCAGAUCAUUCUCAGUGAACCUGGCACUUAUUUCUUUAACAACAAAGUCAGAUCAAUGCUGAAUGCCUUUGAAAAAUCAAACCUCUGAUGUACAACCCAGCAAAGCAUGAACAAUUACAAUCUUUGACGUUUUCCUACUGGCUUGUAGAAGGAGAGCUACCCACAGAUGUCAUGCAACUGCAACACACAGGCAAUACUUCAUGCUAGUACUGAAAAGACAACCUGAAGGAAAGAGCAGGUGGAACGGUGUGGAGCAGGUUGUGUAUGAAUGUGUACUGAGGACAAAGGCAACUGGAAGUGGAUAUAAACCUAGAAAUAGGCAGAUGAGAAAAAAUAAAAUAAAAAAAUAAUCAGGAGAACUCCGACAAAACCUAGAAGCCAGCAACUGGCUUGAUGUGCUGCCAGGGAUACUGAGGAUUACUGAGCCUGGGGAGCCACCACCAUCAUUGUGCUUCUGCCAGAUUCCCUGAUCUGCAUAAAACGUUCCAAACUGUCACUCUGGACUACCAGGGAAGCUGGUCGUUAAGGUUAUUCAAAAUGAGAAGCUCUAUUUUCAGUGUCUUUUGAUUUUGUGAAGCUUAAAUAGAGUGAACUGAAAUAGCUUGGAUAGCUACUUCACGCUGAUGACUUUUUCACUGCAAUUCUCACAAUAUUUAAAAACUUGAACCAAGUACUUUGUACAUUUCUAUAUACCAGAUGCAUGUGCUGUUAACCUGAAGGAAAAGACCUCACUCCUGUGCCAAGAUGGGGAUCAGUAAAUAAAAUGAAUAGUUCUCCUUUUUAUAUCUUAAGAAUACAUUAACAGUCCUUGAAAGCUACUCUGAGAACAAAUAUUUGCCCGCUUAACUUAAAAAGCUGUAACUAUUAGGAAAAGCUUACCUGUACUCCCCUCCUCGUUCCUAUUUUAGAUUUAACUGUGUGACCAAACUUUUACCCUUUAUUUAAAGCAGAAAGAAAAGCGAGGGAAUUUUUGAAUGAAGAAGGUGAGUAUCGCUGCUAGCAGCUGGAAACUCCAGAUAACCAGAUUUAUUCACAGGCUAUAGAUCUUUCUGUACUUGUUACUCAAACUGCUUUCUACAAGAACAGCCAAGAGUUCCUUACUUCCUUGUGUCCAGCAUGAGAGGCAGGAAACCAAAUGUUCAGUGAUGCUGCACAAACACAUGGAAACCCCAAGAUACUUACACAAGGUAUUUAUUUUGGACAAAUAAAAAUGCAAACCACACCACCAUGCCAGGAUCUAGGCUUUUUACAAUAGGCUGUGUCUUCAUAGUAACAGCCUUCCUCUCCCUCUGUCUUGUUUCCCAUUCUAUAAAAUGGAUAAAAUUAUAUUGAAACUAAAUCACCAUUUCAAUCAUUAGUGACAAAGGACAGUAGAAAUACCCAUGAAUCUAACAAAUCUAUCUGCAGGCAGUGCUUAAAUGAUGUGUAUUAAGAAGGAUUUACUGAAGGGGAUAAAAGAGAAUGACCAGUAGGAGGCUGGUGUCUAUUGGAAAACUGACCACCGCAUCCUGCAAUAACAUACAUGCAGAAAUACUGAUACAAAAGCUGACAAAAACUUUAUUACUAAUUCUAAUAUCUUUUAAAUAUACUAUUAUAUGUUUCCUUAUUUGGUUCUAGUUACCUCUACAUAGCACACGCAAUGGCAUCCACAAAUUAUGCUACAAGUCCUCUGCUUGAUCAAUACCACUCAUAUUUAUCAAACAAUUUUUGGACCUUGUGAGAAACAGUACUGGAAAACAGCUUAAUCUGUAUCAUAUAUCAGAAUCUUCCCUGUGACAUGGCCCCCAGAUUACAGAAGUAAGACUGUAUGUUUAUCACAGUAUGCUGAAGUACACCGGGUAGACAGUACAAAGCAUCACAUUACUGCUGCUUUUCAUAUAUAUCUAUUUACAGCCCAAGUGUACACAGCCAGCCCUCACUUUGCAAGGGUUUAUCCAACACAGAGACACAGGAUUUGGCUCCCAGCAGACACUGCCUGGGUCUGGCAGUUUUCAUUAGCAAAGACACAGCAGUAUGUGAACGCAGCCAUCUGGCUUCCAACAGAAGGCCAAUUCUGGCAGAAACAACGUUACUUUUUGUGGUGCGUAUGUGCCAAGGCAGCAAGCACUGCGACCCACAGCCAGCUCUUGCAGAAUAAGCUCCAUGAUGCUCCUAGAACAACAAGGCAUGACAUAGUGUGACCACUGAUGUGCAGAUCAACCUCAGCUGUGUGUCUUCCCUCAUCACCUGUUCUGCAAAACAGCUCCCACAGGUUUACUCAUGAACAUUUUCUCAUUGGUGUCUGAUAUACUGACUGAGACAUGUUUGGGUCUGCUGCUGCAUCACAUCUGAACUCCUCAGGAUGCUCAUCUAGGCUGGGGGGCAGCACAAAGCCAUCCCCCACUGAUGCUGCCAUGACAGAGACCAGGGACAGUGCAGUCUCCCAAGUCA